GGAUUUGGGAAAUCCUUGCUUCCCAUCUGCAUGGCUAAAACGCACCUGUCGCUUUCCCAUGACCCGGAACUGAAAGGAGUGCCCACGGGUUUCAUCCUGCCCAUCAGAGACAUCCGAGCCAGCGUGGGUGCGGGAUUCUUGUAUCCGCUGGUGGGAACAAUGAGCACAAUUCCGGGACUUCCUACUAGGCCUUGCUUCUAUGACAUCGACCUGAACCCUGUGACUGGAGAGGUGAACGGCCUGUUCUAAAACGAAUUGACCGUCCAGAUAACGUCAGUUCAACAAGGCCCGAACAAGUUAAUCAGCACGGCAAGAUCUGAACACUGGAAACUAAAAGUCUUUUGGGAAACUAUCUUCCUGCAUAUUUUUUUUUUAAAAAACCUGCAAUACUGCAGUUUUAAUGAGUGAUUUACUUUUUCACUCCCUACAGCUGGAAGUCUGUACAACCUUCUUUUUAAAUACGGAUAACUUUUUUAAAACAUUGGCCUGUAAGAUGGCUGGCAGUAGUCAGUAGACACCUUCUUGUCUCUGAUAAAGGCUGAGGGUUUGGGGUUGUUGUUUUUUUAAUCUUCUCGGUGGCCUGUGAUCUAGUUACAGUGGACCUGUUACAUUCCUUUGGAAAGAAGGCUAGCAAUUCUGCCCGUAUUCCAAGCUCCUCGCAGACAUGAAAUCUAGAGUUAGUUUGGCUGACCAGCCCACUAACGUAAGCCUGUGAAAGCAGCCCAUCAAAAAGUUUGGAAGUCUUCUGUAUUUUCUCCCUGCGCAUCUCAUGGGGCCGCACCAUGUUACUGGUGGCUCUGAAUUGAGCUCAGUGUUUUAUGGGUCAUCUUUGCCGUUCCUUGAAUGUGUCUUUUAGGCAGCUGGGCACUUGUCUCUGGUGACGGCACCCCAUAAUGUCAGGGCAGAGCUGUGCAUCACCCCGUACGCUGCUCCCUUAAACAGCUAUCUCAAGGCUCAUGGCUUUUGAACACAAGUACGCAAAGACUCUCACUGCGUGAGGAGACUGGAUCUUCCAGGUGGCAACGGGCAUUUGGUAACAGUGUCUUAAAAUACACACCCCAUCCCUUCCCCCCCUUUUUUUGCAAUGCUAAAAAUCCAUAUUGCUUUCCGAACAAACGCUGUACCUGGCUUGUAGUCCAUGCACGCUGCAGCCAAAGGGGACAGAUAAUCUUGCAAUAAUCUUGUUGCCAGCCACUGCAGAGUUCCAAGAUUCUGGCCUCGCCCCGGCACGGUUGGUUGCUUUUAAAUACAGUUUUCGCUAGGGAUGCUCAAGGCGCCUUUUCCGAACUGCUGUAGACUUAACUUUGGGUUGCUUCCACGAUUGCUGUUGUUGCAGAAAUGCGAAACUGAGUUUUGGUCCUUUUCAGACACACAUUCCAAACCGGGUGGGUGCUCAAAGCCCAUGUUAAAGCCCUGACCAUAGCAACUACAGGCAUCUGUUCGAAGGCGGUGUCCCAGGAUAGCCACUGGGUGUAUCUUCACCCAGAGGACACCCGUUUGCCCUAGAAUACCCUUUGUUUUUUUCAGAGUGGCUCUCCUGCAACCAGUUGAGAAUACAAGGACCUAGCAUAGGAAUCUCUACACUUAAGACUUCGGUUGACGCCUGCCCUUGAGACUUAUUUGCUAGUAUUUAGAUGGCAUCAGUUGAGUGGAGAAAAUAAACAAGACAGAGUGGAACACUUUGCCAUGACCAUUGUUCUGUAGACUGUCCGGGGCUGGGAAUGUCAGGGUGGAAUUGCUCCUGGAAAGCCCAGAUCCGCAGUCGCCUUUGCUGUUCACACCAAAAUCACGCACAGAAAUUUAAAGUGCCAGCCUGAUUGUUUUUUUAAAAAAUCGAUAAGAUGCCUCGUUGAGAAGAGACUGGAUCUCCCACAACGGCAACUCAACGAAAAGAAUGCGUCCUCUGGUUGUCCUUUAACAAAUCCCGAGCCAGAUUUUUAAAUUUUUCUGCAGGGUUUUUAAAGCUUUCCCUUUUGGAUGAACCAAAAGUGCAAAAUUCUGUUUUUAAUCCGAGCUGUUGCCUGCCUGUCUUCUGCACACAGCACCAAAACAUACCGUAUGGGUUUUUUUUUCCCUAAUAUGAACAUGUAACUGCUGCCAGACUUGUAAUUAGCGCGAAUAAACCUCUACAUCCUUGGA